rnacentral:rRNA from 1 species
ACGAACGCUGGCGGCGUGCCUCAAACAUGCAAGUCGAACGGAUCUAGCCGCAAGGCUAGGUUAGUGGCGAACGGGUGAGUAACACGUGGGCAACCUGCCCUAAAGUCUGGGAUAACGGACCGAAAGGUCCGCUAAUACCGGAUAAUGUCCAAAGGUCGCAUGACUUUUGGAAGAAAGCCGAAAGGCGCUUAAGGAUGGGCUCGCGUCCCAUCAGCUAGUUGGUAAGGUAACGGCUUACCAAGGCGACGACGGGUAGCCGGUCUGAGAGGAUGGUCGGCCACACUGGGACUGAGAAACGGCCCAGACUCCUACGGGAGGCAGCAGUUGGGAAUAUUGGGCAAUGGGCGAAAGCCUGACCCAGCGACGCCGCGUGAGGGAAGAAGGCCUUCGGGUCGUAAACCUCUGUCAUCGGGGACGAAGGAAGUGACGGUACCCGAGGAGGAAGCCCCUGCUAACUACGU